rnacentral:rRNA from 1 species
UACGUACGAGGCGAGCGUUAUCCGGAAUCACUGGGCUUAAAGCGUGUGUAGGUGGAUCGUUAAGUACCUUGUGAAAUCCCACGGCUUAACCGUGGAACUGCUUGGUAUACUGGCGGUCUUGAGCCACUUAGGGGCUACCGGAACAAAUGGUGGAGCGGUGAAAUGCGUAGAUAUCAUUUGGAACGCCAAUGGUGAAAACAGGUAGCUGGGAGUGUGCUGACACUGAGACACGAAAGCCAGGGGAGCAAACGGG